UGGGGGAUAUUGCACAAUGGGGGAAACCCUGAUGCAGCGACGCCGCGUGAGGGAAGACGGCCUUCGGGUUGUAAACCUCUGUCAUAGGGGACGAAGGAAGUGACGGUACCCUAUGAGGAAGCCACGGCUAACUACGUGCC
rnacentral:rRNA from 1 species